rnacentral:rRNA from 1 species
UAAUACAUAAGUGACCUGCCCUAGACAGGGGGAGUAACUAUUGGAAACGAUAGCUAAGACCGCAUAGGUACGGACACUGCAUGGUGACCGUAUUAAAAGUGCCUCAAAGCACUGGUAGAGGAUGGACUUAUGGCGCAUUAGCUGGUUGGCGGGGUAACGGCCCACCAAGGCGACGAUGCGUAGCCGACCUGAGAGGGUGACCGGCCGCACUGGGACUGAGACACGGCCCAG